rnacentral:piRNA from 1 species
UGUCCCAGGUAGGGGUCAGGAUUUGAGC